GACGGAGGAUGCAAGUGUUAUCCGGAAUCACUGGGCGUAAAGCGUCUGUAGGUGGUUUAAUAAGUCAACUGUUAAAUCUUGAGGCUCAACCUCAAAAUCGCAGUCGAAACUAUUAGGCUAGAGUAUAGUAGGGGUAAAGGGAAUUUCCAGUGGAGCGGUGAAAUGCGUAGAGAUUGGAAAGAACACCGAUGGCGAAGGCACUUUACUGGGCUAUUACUAACACUCGGAGACGAAAGCUAGGGUAGCAAAUGGG
rnacentral:rRNA from 1 species